AAUGGAGAAUUAGGUCCAGAAACAGGAGAAGCGAGCAUAAACAAGCAAAACCCUAAAAUCUGAAAGGGAAAAAUGAGAAAGAGGAUAUGAUUCGACAUCUAACCUGGAUCUCUGAUACCGGUCUCCAGAAUUUCUGAAACUGAACUUGCAAGUAA